AGAUGUUGCGCAACAGACCUGGGAUGGAAACAUGCAAAAAGAUGUCCUACUUUCCUAGAGCCCAGUCAAGACAGUCAUCCCCUCACAACCGGUUUCCAGCUUUCUAGAGCACAUAUGAAUGGGAACCUAGGGGAGCUCUCUUUCUGGUGAAUAUUAUGAAAAUAUGAUGUCAUAGAGGAAAACAAAUUGGACUGUCCUGUUUUCAACCCAGCAAGGUCCAUGUCUGGCUAGCCUCCUGUCAGGUGCAAAGAAUCGGGACUACAUAUAGAAUUAUAGGGCUGGGAGUCAAAACAGCAGACUUUGGCACAAU